AGUAGCAAAUAAAGUGAUUUAAAAGUGUGUUUGUUUGAGCGAAUAACAAAAGUAAAUUGAGUUGAAAAAGGUGAGUUUUUAUUUAAACAAAUGAAAUAAGUUUUAUUGUGAUCCCAGAAUAAAACAUUACAAUAUGAAAACUGAAAUGAUAAAUUUUGUAUCACUUCACAGUUUCACAGAUCGGUAAUUGACCCCCAAAGGUACUUUUAUAUAAACGAAUAUCGUUGAAACUACUUCGUUAUCUUUCAAAGGCGAUUACGAAUUACAAUAAUCGUUUUAUCGUUUGAAUUUCGUUAUUUUUUACACAUAAUCGCUCUUUCCCUUCAAGCAAGAAAACUGAGUUCAACAAAGAAACUCCGACCUCAGACCGCGAAAAUCGAAAUGAACACAAAAGUCGAACGAGAAUCGUGGUGAAAAAGUGCGAAAAGGAAAACACUAUAUGAUAGAGACAAGUGCAACCCCAUUUUACAAAAGAACAAACGUCAAAAUUAAUAAAACAAUAAAAAAAGUAAGUAAGCGAGUGGAAGCAAAAGUAAUAAUUCAAAAAAAUUUUAUAUAAAAAAUACUAUCAUCUCAUCUCUAAAAAAAGAGCAGCUGUCGAGGGUGGCCGAGGUUUGGGACCAGAUUUUGAAAAAAGAAGAUGUUUCGCGAAUAAAAACGCUAAAGUAGAUGUUGAAUCUCUGGCCUGUCAGUCGGAAGGAAUAAGAAGCGCCUGAAGGUUGGUGGAAUUCGCAAGACACAUUCCUGGAUUAGGGAGUUACGAUCAAGAUAUCGCCUUUGAAAAUGACGAAUAGGGUCUUAUGUACGCAGAGCUAGCAACUCGUAUGGAAGGAUUCUUAAAUAUUACGGUCAAUGCAUCUACUCUCCAAGUUCAUGCUAGAAAGCUCCGAGAGAAUUUGGACAUCCAUAGCAACUCAAACUACAGCAGCAACAACAAAUGAAAAUAAAUGAAAUGUAUUUUAUUGUAUUUAUUGUAAUUCCUUUUGCUACAAAAACAUUAUAAUAAAAAAAAAAACGAUUUCAGUGAAGAAAAUUAAUAAACAGGGAUUUUUUAAGUUAGAAAUGUCAAAUAUAUUCGAUACUCGAGUAUCGAUCGAUAUCUCAAUGCCGGAAGUCAUACGUUCCGACCUCGCCUCCGUUUUCUCGGAAUGGAGAUUUUCACCACACUAAUACAUAUGCAAUCGACUUCGCGGUGAUUAU